AUACUUACCUGGCAGGGGAGAUACCAUGAUCACAAAGGUGGUUUCUCUAGGGCUAGGCUUAUCCAUUGCACCCCAAUGUGCUGACCCCUGCGAUUUCCCCAAAUGUGGGAAACUUGACUGCAUAAUUUGUGGUAAUGGGGGACUUCGUUCAUGCUCUCCCUGA